rnacentral:tRNA from 1 species
CCCCGGUUGGUGCAAUCGGCAGCACAUCGCUGUAUACCACGAUCGUUCCUAGAACACCGUUCCGCUGUUAUACACGGAUUCACCGGCGAAGGUUGAAAGUUCGAGUCUUUCAUCGCGGG